AGCGGACAGAAGGGAGCUUGCUCCCGGAUGUUAGCGGCGGACGGGUGAGUAACACGUGGGUAACCUGCCUGUAAGACUGGGAUAACUCCGGGAAACCGGAGCUAAUACCGGAUAGUUCCUUGAACCGCAUGGUUCAAGGAUGAAAGACGGUUUCGGCUGUCACUUACAGAUGGACCCGCGGCGCAUUAGCUAGUUGGUGAGGUAACGGCUCACCAAGGCGACGAUGCGUAGCCGACCUGAGAGGGUGAUCGGCCACACUGGGACUGAGACACGGCCCAGACUCCUACGGGAGGCAGCAGUAGGGAAUCUUCCGCAAUGGACGAAAGUCUGACGGAGCAACGCCGCGUGAGUGAUGAAGGUUUUCGGAUCGUAAAGCUCUGUUGUUAGGGAAGAACAAGUGCAAGAGUAACUGCUUGCACCUUGACGGUACCUAACCAGAAAGCCACGGCUAACUACGUGCCAGCAGCCGCGGUAAUACGUAGGUGGCAAGCGUUGUCCGGAAUUAUUGGGCGUAAAGGGCUCGCAGGCGGUUUCUUAAGUCUGAUGUGAAAGCCCCCGGCUCAACCGGGGAGGGUCAUUGGAAACUGGGAAACUUGAGUGCAGAAGAGGAGAGUGGAAUUCCACGUGUAGCGGUGAAAUGCGUAGAGAUGUGGAGGAACACCAGUGGCGAAGGCGACUCUCUGGUCUGUAACUGACGCUGAGGAGCGAAAGCGUGGGGAGCGAACAGGAUUAGAUACCCUGGUAGUCCACGCCGUAAACGAUGAGUGCUAAGUGUUAGGGGGUUUCCGCCCCUUAGUGCUGCAGCUAACGCAUUAAGCACUCCGCCUGGGGAGUACGGUCGCAAGACUGAUACUCAUAGGAAUUGACGGGGGCCCGCACAAGCGGUGGAGCAUGUGGUUUAUUUCGAAGCAAC
rnacentral:rRNA from 1 species